CGCACGCGCAGACCGCCGCUCUCGGCGUGCAGCGCUGCGGCCCAGCCGGCCGCCUCAGGCAGCCCCGCGGGGCCUGCUGGGCCUGAGCAGCUGGAGCAUGGCGCUGAAACGGAUCCAGAAGGAACUGACUGACUUACAGAGGGAUCCUCCUGCUCAGUGUUCUGCAGGACCUGUAGGUGAUGACUUGUUCCACUGGCAGGCCACCAUCAUGGGCCCGAAUGACAGUCCUUACCAAGGAGGUGUUUUCUUCCUGACCAUCCACUUCCCAACAGAUUAUCCUUUCAAACCCCCAAAGGUUGCUUUCACUACCAAAAUCUAUCACCCUAAUAUCAACAACAAUGGCAGCAUCUGCCUGGACAUCCUGAGGUCCCAGUGGUCCCCAGCAUUAACUGUGUCCAAAGUUCUCUUAUCCAUCUGCUCUCUGCUCUGCGACCCCAACCCUGAUGACCCACUGGUGCCAGAAAUAGCCCACACCUACAAGGCCGACAGAGAGAAGUAUGCGUCCUCUUUGGGUUGGCUUUGUGUGCAGCUGCCCAGGUUCCCACGGACAUCUUCCUGCCCAAGCCAAGCCCAUGUAUGCAGUGGGUGUGCCCUGGGCUUAGCCUCCUGUUUCUUCCUAACACGUCCUUUGACUCAGAGGAGGGAAAAAGGAUAAAAGUACUUUGCCCUCCUGGAUAGCUCACCAACUACCACUGCUGAAUCCUAAAAUAUUGUCAAGCCCUGACCUGAGGACAGCUAAGUCAGUGGUCAGCCAACAAAGGACUCAGAAGAAUAUGACAAGAAAAUUCUGGAUUAAAUUAGAAGGUUUAUGACAAAAUAAGGGGGUAAUCUGCUUGGACAUCCCCAGAAUGAGGCUGAAACCAGCAAGGUGGGCAGCACUGCCAAGAUACAACAGACUAGCAAGAGAAUGGACACAGAAAUAUGCUAUGUAAGUGCCUCGAAGGUUCCAUGGGAGACACUGUCCAAGAGACGCUUGCCAGGCAGAGUGGCCUUCCUGUGAAGCUCUGAGCCAUUGGCUAAGGCACUCACAGAACAUCCUACGUUCACACACGUGUUGACCACUCACUUUCUCUGGCUGCAGCACGUUGGUGCCACUUUCAGCCAUUGUGGCCUUGACAGUGUCACACCUUUGAUGCCAAAUCAGCAACCAUCAUUAUGAUCUGCAGUCUUCCUGGUUACACUAGAAUUGGUCUCUGCCCCAGCUUGUCUGCUUGUCUCUGGAGAAUCAAGCCAUGCAUGCCUCCCCUACUUGUCCUCAAAUGAUGCCACUAGUCACCAUGGCACUAUACAGGGGCCCAGUCUGCUCCCUAGCCACAUGCCCUUUGCCUUUAGAACACAGUGCUAUCCUGAGGGCCCAGGGCAGAGUGGGCUCUCUCCAUACUCUUGUCUGCCACAGAACCGUGUCCUCAGGAGUCCAAGUGCAUCCUGGGGCUCCUGGAGUUAGAACAGCAUCAAGUGAAAGUGCUUCCGCUGUCUUCUGCCACCGUCCUCUGCAGUGCUAUGUGCUGCAUUUCUCUCCUCAUACCAAACAGCAAGUGGGAACCAUCAAGAUAUAACAAGCAUGUAACCCCCCAAGAAAGAGGAUGGCAUUAUCAGACAUGAAGGGAUCAGGGUUAUGCUUUUGUGUGUGGUGAGACUUUUCCCCCACUCUUCUCCCACUGGGAACUUAACAUGGAGUUCAAGCAUAAGCCAUUCACAGACUGGAACACAGUGAGGGAGAGGGACUUUAAAUGCAAAUAAAAAUGAAAUUCCCUCAAAACUA